UACAACCUCUGUCCUAAAAUAAACGUUCAAUCUUUGACUCUUCGUCUUAUUUGAAAAAAUUUUAUGAUUGAUAUUUUAUUGUUACUACAUGAUAAAGCAUGAAUAGUAUUUUACAUGUGACUAAUUCUUUUAAUUUUUUAAUAAUUUUAAAUAAGACAGAUGAUCAAACGCUCGAACUACAACACCAGAAAUGCUUUUUUU
rnacentral:pre_miRNA from 1 species